AUACUCUUUUUGGCAGUACCUAUCUUUAAAUUGGAAAGAUUCUGAAAAGAUUAGCAUGGCUCCUGCACAAAGAUGACAUGCAAAUUAGUGAUGUGUUUCAUAUUUGA
rnacentral:snRNA from 1 species